rnacentral:rRNA from 1 species
UAAAUUGCAAAUGAAUUAUGGGGAAACCCAUACGCCGCAAGGCAUUUGUGAAGGUGCUGCAUGGUUGUCGUCAGCUCGUGCCGUGAGGUGUCGGCUUAAGUGCCAUAACGAGCGCAACCCUUAUCUUCAGUUACUAACAGGUCAUGCUGAGGACUCUGGAGAGACUGCCGUCGUAAGAUGUGAGGAAGGUGGGGAUGACGUCAAAUCAGCACGGCCCUUACGUCCGGGGCUACACACGUGUUACAAUGGGGGGUACAGAAGGCCGCUACCUGGUGACAGGAUGCCAAUCCCAAAAACCUCUCUCAGUUCGGAUCGAAGUCUGCAACCCGACUUCGUGAAGCUGGAUUCGCUAGUAAUCGCGCAUCAGCCAUGGCGCGGUGAAUACGUUCCCGGGCCUUGUACACACCGCCCGUCAAGCCAUGAAAGCCGGGGGUACCUGAAGUACGUAACCGCAAGGAGCGUCCUAGGGUAAAACUGGUAAUUGGGGCUAAGUCGUAACAAGGUACCCG